rnacentral:lncRNA from 1 species
ACCCUGACAUUGGCACCCAUGAGAAGAAUAAAGCGUUAAUUAUAAGUAAGAAAAUAAUUAAAUUAAACCCCAAAUAGUGGUGGAGAGACAGUUACCAAACCAUUAUGGGUUACGACAAUUAUACACGUGUUGUGAUAGGUAGAAUGCCAUUAAAAUUCUUAACCAAAUUUGGGACAUUUAAAUUCACGUGCUAAUGCAAUGCAAGAGAUAAAGGAAACAGCUUCACUUAUUUAAAUUUCCAUCAAAGUAAAGCUCAAGGUUAGAUCAACAUAUCUUCUGCUGCAAUUUGCUACAUAUAAAGAGACUUGUAUGCCAUAGUACCAUUCAGAUAUUCAGUCGUAUGAUAAAUCUUGUUAAGCAAGUAUCAUGAAUAUUUAUACUGCCUGAGCCUAUGUAGACAUGAAAGUGCUAUGGCGAUUCAUGAUUCAAAUAGAAAGCAUUUACCUUUGCA